GAUGAAGAACGUAGCGAAAUGCGAUAAGUAAUGUGAAUUGCAGAAUUCAGUGAAUCAUCGAGUCUUUGAACGCACAUUGCGCCCCCUGGUGUUCCGGGGGGCAUGCCUGUCCGAGCGUCAUUGCUGCCCUCAAGCACGGCUUGUGUGUUGGGCCCCCGUCCCCGGUUUCCCCCGGGGACGGGCCCGAAAGGCAGCGGCGGCACCGCGUCCGGUCCUCGAGCGUAUGGGGCUUUGUCACCCGCUCUGUAGGCCCGGCCGGCGCCAGCCGACACCCAACUUUAUUUCUAAGGUUGACCUCGGAUCAGGUAGGGAUACCCGCUGAACUUAAGCAUAUCAAUAAGCGGAGGA
rnacentral:misc_RNA from 1 species